CGGGCGUUGAGUAUAUGCAUC
rnacentral:miRNA from 1 species